AUGAACGCUGGCGGCGUGCUUAACCCAUGCAAGUCGAACGAGAAGUGAAGACGGAAACCUUCGGGCGGAAGGCUUUAUUUCGAGUGGCGGACGGGUGAGUAACGCGUGGGUAACCUUCCUCAUACAGGGGGAUAACAGUUGGAAACGACUGUUAAUACCGCAUAAGACCACAGCACCGCAUGGUGCGGGGGUAAAAACUCCGGUGGUAUGAGAUGGACCCGCGUUCGAUUAGCCAGUUGGCGGGGUAACGGCCCACCAAAGCGACGAUCGAUAGCCGAUCUGAGAGGAUGACCGGCCACAUUGGGACUGAGACACGGCCCAAACUCCUACGGGAGGCAGCAGUGGGGAAUAUUGCACAAUGGGGGAAACCCUGAUGCAGCGACGCCGCGUGAGUGAAGAAGUAUUUCGGUAUGUAAAGCUCUAUCAGCAGGGAAGAAAAUGACGGUACCUGAGUAAGAAGCCCCGGCUAACUACGUG
rnacentral:rRNA from 1 species